rnacentral:rRNA from 1 species
UACGUAGGGUGCAAACGUUGUUCGGAAUCACUGGGCGUAAAGGGCGUGUAGGCGGUCCGCUAAGUCUGAUGUGAAAGCCCGGGGCUCACCCCCGGAAGGGCAUUGGAAACUGACGGACUCGAGUCCCGAAGAGGAGGGUGGAAUUCCUGGUGUAGCGGUGAAAUGCGUAGAUAUCAGGAGGAACACCGGUGGCGAAGGCGGCCCUCUGGACGGUGACUGACGCUGAGACGCGAAAGCGUGGGGAGCAAACAGG